UACGUAGGGGGCAAGCGUUGUCCGGAUUUAUUGGGCGUAAGGAGCGUGUAGGCGGUUUGGUAGGUCCGCUGUGAAAACUCGAGGCUCAACCUCGAGACGCCGGUGGAAACCAUCAGGCUAGAGUCCGGAAGAGGAGAGUGGAAUUCCUGGUGUAGCGGUGAAAUGCGCAGAUAUCAGGAAGAACACCCGUGGCUAAGGCGGCUCUCUAGUACGGUACUGACGCUGAGACGCGAAAGCGUGGGGGAGCGAACAGG
rnacentral:rRNA from 1 species